rnacentral:rRNA from 1 species
AUUGAACGCUGGCGGCAGGCCUAACACAUGCAAGUCGAGCGAGCGGCGGACGGGUGAGUAAUGUCUGGGAAACUGCCUGAUGGAGGGGGAUAACUACUGGAAACGGUAGCUAAUACCGCAUACCAUCAGAUGUGCCCAGAUGGGAUUAGCUAGUAGGUGGGGUAACUGCCCACCUAGGCGACGCUCCCUAGCUGGUCUGAGAGGGUGACCCGCCACACGGGAACUGAGACAAGGUCCAGACUCCUACGGUAGGCAGCAGUGGGGAAUAUUGCACAAUGGGCACAAGCCUGAGGCAGCCAUGCAGCGUGUGUGAAGAAGGCCUUCGGGUUGUAAAGCACUUUCAGCGGGGAGGCGUUACCCGCAGAAGAAGCACCGGCUAACUCCGUGCCAGCAGCCGCGGUAAUUC